rnacentral:sRNA from 1 species
GGAUAUGUUCUAAUCAUAAUCAUUGUGUUCGUAUCCCGCUGCGAUUUUUGCUGCUUGUACUACUAUUCCAACUUCGUUCGUCAGAUAUAAAUUUGUGUGGAUCACAAAAAGUGUUUCUAGUAUUCAACUGAAUACGGGCACUUUUUGAUUCAACCACAUGGCUUCACUCUGCAAUAGUAUAAUUGGUUGGAUAAAAAAUGACAAAGAAGGUGAGUUUCUCAACGCAUUUAUUACAAUAAUUGAUCUAUUAGUAAUUGCCUGGGAUUUACAAUUGUAGAAGAGUUGACGCCAAUAAAAGUCGAAAAAAUGUAGAUUUGAACCGUUAUACUGUUAUGGUCAGUUAAGUAACAAUUUCGAAUUUCAUAAAUUGUUCAGCCACUGACCUUAUGUGUAAAACACUCAAUAUAUUUCAAAUGAAGCGAAUCUCAACUCGAAAUGCUGGAUCCUAUUGAAUAAUGCUCAGCGAACUGUCAAUCAAUUUGAAUAGAAUAUGCUUGCUCGUCUUGCAUUUUUUGAACCCUGGCACAUAUGUUGCAUAUGCCCAAUCAUUCUGUGUUGUGUGUAUGCCUAUUAGGUGCCUCAAAAAACCAGCCAAUUGCCUACAAACACCCAUCAUUACGUGAGAUGUCUCCGAGAAUCUCGGUUAACAGUCAUCAGCCACUGAAACGAAUAAGUAUUAGGAGAAUUUGAAGACUAUGGUCUCUAAUGGGUUAUCGUUUAAAUGUGGGCGGGAUUACACAGAAACCAAUUUGGAAGCGUUUGUUUUCCUUUUUAUUUGCUUGUUCUCAAGUGAUGGCUAAAACUGUGGCACCUUUCUGCAUCAAACGUAGGUUCCUUUUCCUUAAUUUUUUUUUCUGGCUGGCGAUUUUCAACGAAUUUCGUGGUGUUUAUCGCAGCUGAUCUACGAUAGCUUGUGGUCAUGUGGGGAUCCUCUGAUUUUCCAAAUAUAUUUUCACAUUCUAACGCGCUUCUCUGGUUAUCUGACCUCUCAUCUCGCUGUUGAGGAAGACAUGGAACGCACCCUUUACCCAAUUUUUCUACAAUGUCCUGAAUUGCUUAGGGGAAACAUGGUCUGCUCCGGGAUGAGAGAAUGAAAUGUGUUUGGGAUGUGUAUAGGGACUACUUUGUUUGGUGUACAAUCCCAAAAGUGUCGAUGGUAAAUAUUGGCUGUUCGUCUUACUUGUUUUGGCCUUGACUCGGUAACCGAACCCUCUCCGACAACACGGUUUUUAUUGUGCGAACGUCGUAAUUUAGGUGGUCUCAUGAUAUUAUGGAAUAGAAAGAAAUUGAGAUGGGUUCAGACGACUGAGAACAGAAGUUCUAAUCAAUUCGUUUCCACUACAUUAGGCUUACUCAAAGGUCGAUUUAAGUUUCCAAAUUUGAAGAGUACAGAGAGUUUUAGAAGUUCAGAAUCAUCAAGGAAUCAUAUUAAGAUCGUAGAAGCUUUUGAAAAAACGUAAAAUAUCAGUAGGCAAAUUACCAUCAAAUGGAAAAGCUUCACUUUCCGACAUUGAUGAUAGGCAAUCUUAGACCGUCCAUAAAAUCUCCUGUCAUUUAAUUAUGCAAUACCAGAUGGCCUCUUGUCUUCUCCCGGAAGGUACACAGAGAUUAAGAUGGGACAUGCAUUCACAGAAAAAACGAUGAGAACAUAAAUAGUGCUCAGUCGGGAUCUCUUUUGACACACAUGUUUUUGAUCUAGUCGGCGCCACUGGUUGGUCUACCAAUAAUUCAAUAGUUUAUUUGGGAUCACAGAAAAAAGAUGAAAAUGCCCCUAAUAUCCUGUGUAAUGACAAAAGAAAAACGUUGUUCGCAGCUCCAAUGCUGCUCCCUUCUCUGACUGAUUGAUUCUUGGUGAGGGCGGACGCGGCGACAAAACUACUUGUGAUGAUGAUGAUAUGAGAGCAUCUUCUCUCCAUCUCUUAUCCUGUGCAAAGGUCUCAAUAUCAUUUCAUUUCGAACCUUAGUUUUCAGGCUUUCUAUUUUUUCUUGCUUUGUUGUGAGAUGAGAGCCUAGCUUUGUAUAUCGACUCAUGCUUGGUGAUUGAUUACACGAAUAGACACACAUAUCACUUGAAGAGUUAUGUUGUUUUGAAGUGCGAUUACCACUUCGACUUAUCGUUUAUUUUUUUAAUUUCUAAAUUUUGGUAUAUUCGAACUGCUGUAGAUGCUAUUUAUCGAACGAAAAUGUGUCUAGUCUGUGCCGGAUGUAAAGUAUUAUCUACAUUACGAGCAUAUUGUACUGGAUUCAUGCCUAAUAUUACUGUAAUCAUAGCGCCAAAGAAGGUAUUGACUUCAAAUUCGUCGUCUUCUACUUCAGAUAUUUCAAUGCAUAGAAGUAUUCCGGAAAUUUAUGUUCCCAAUGAUAAGUAUAAUGAAGAGAAACCGAUUCGUAGAAAAAGUCACGGAAAUAGUGAGUCAUUUCGAGAUGUUUUAGAGGAAAAGAAAAUCUGAAGAAAUUACAAAUAUACUAAUCAUAAAACUACGCUUCUGUCGUUUGACCACUGACUCAUAAAAUUUUGAAGUGGACAUUCGCCUAUGUUUUUUUAAUCACCAAACAUACGGCGGCAUCUUCUAAGAAAUUACAACGAGAAUGUUAUCUUGUGGCCGUGGAAAAAUGCGGCAGAGAUCAACGGCGUUUAAUGACAGUGGUUAGAGAAUUAAGAUUAAAUGCAAAAAAAAUUGGUUCAUUUUUUAACAAUAUUUAAGUUGAUUUUUAAAUUUAUAAUUAAAAUUUCUAAUUUUCAGUUCGCCUCCGUAAACGUGGAGAUACGUCCCGUCGAGAUGCAGUGGAAGCUGGAUUCGAACCGAGAGAUACUGUUCCACGAUGUCAUUCAACACAGUCGUUGAGAGAUGUUCAACGUGUUCGAUCAUACAACAAUUCACAGUUUCAGGUAAUAUAUUAAAUUUUAUUCCGAAGUUACUUCUUCUGGGUCCAAAAAAUAAUUAUUAACCAAAAAACAUUUAAAAAAAUGGUUUUGAUUUUGGGUCAAAGUACGAUAAAUUAAAAUUUUCAAAAAACCAAAAAAUGUAAUGGUUGAAUUUAUUUUUGUAAAACCAUGAAAAGUGCAAUUUGUCUCCGUUUUGUUUUGAGAUCUAAAAACAAAAAAAAAACAAUUUCUCACCGAAAUACUAACAAAAAAAAACAAAAAUCCGAAAAAAAAAUCCCAGCCCUGAUAUGUAUUUUACGGACACAUUUUGUUGAAAUGCAGUAAAUUCGAUGCGAAUCUCGAAAAAAAAUGUGGAUAUUGAUUUUUGAAAAUAAUUUUUCUGGCCUUAUUUAUCGCUGAUUCUGUUAUUUUCGAAUUCUUGUUGGACGGAAAGAUAUCUCGAGAGAUCAUGUGUUUACAGCAUUUUAACUAUGGGAUUUACGAAAAAAAAAACAAUUUUGAGCCAACUUCCUAUUUAUUUUUCAAGCAUUUCAAUUUAGAUUUGACCUUUCAAAUUUUUGCCGAAAUUUACUUCAAAAAAUAACCUAAUUGUUUUUUUCCUACGUUGUGAAUGAUGAGUAGCAAAACCCGUUAGAUGUCGGGCCAUGCGUAACGAGUCAUAGGAAUGCCGAUCAAAAACAUUCUCUCAUCGUUUUUUUUCUUUUUUAUUUCUAAAAAACCAAAAAUCUAUUUUUCAAAAAAUACCAAAACAAUCAAAAGAGAAUGUUUAAAAAUAAAUUUGUUCUUUUAUUUUGAAUCUUCAGCAAUUUUACAUUUAUCAAGUUCAAAAUUUUAUUUAUAAAACCCAAAAACUAUUUCCUAUUGUAUUGAUUUUUCAAAUAGAAGUAGUGAAUAUAUUUUUCUCCCAAUUCAUAAAAAUGUGAAGACUUGGAUAUUUGAUUCUGAAAAUUUAAUCUUUACAAUAAUUCGACAGUUUGUUGCUUGCUGAAUGUUUCCCGCCCUCUUGUUUUGAGUAAAAAAUAUAAAUUGAAUGUUCUCAGGCCAGUGAUCUUUCACUCAAUCCAAAUGGAAGUAUUCGUGCUGCUUGUGACAGUACAAGUGGAUCUGUCGCCCCAACAGCAGUUGUAAAUCCUGCCCGGAAUCAUGUCAUUUCACAUCGACAACAACAUCAUACAAGCUACGAGAAGGAUCUUAUUCCCCAUCAUAACAUUGAUGUGGAUCGUCGCCGUAGUUUGCAAGCUCUCAAUGGCUGUAAGUUUUCAUUUUUUAUAUCAAUUUGUUGUAGGAUACUGUGAGCGCCGACAGUUUAGUGAUAAAGUUGAGUUUUCUCUGAGUGGACGAAACGAAACGAAAUAGAAACAUUGAGCAAGACCACAGAUAGUGAGGAAAACUGGAGGUUUUGUGUGAAUCGCGACCACCGAUUGAAUUGAAUUGAAGUGAGCACACACACACACACCCAGCACACGUACAAACAUACAGACCCGUUGACGGCACACGUCCGUAUAUUUCCAUCUCUGUCGUUUUGGUGUGGUUUAUCAGCUUAUUUGACUAUCACCUAUUCUAGAGAAAGUGAGAAAAGAAAGAGUUUUGUUUGUGUGUUGAAAUUGAGUGAGUGAGGGUAUGCACUAGAUUUCAAGUACUCACUAUCUUCCUGCUCCUUCCAACUUCAUUUUCGUUUUACGUGUGGCUAUCACAAGUAACGGAGUGUCACGAUGCAAUCAAUUAGAGAACCGCGAAGUGUCGAGCUUAGAGAAAGCAAUAAAUUUAUGCGAUCAAUUUCACAUGGUCGUGCGAGUACCUGGCGACGAAAUCGAAUUAGACCGGACAAUCAGCUUUCAGCAUCUGCUCUCUAUCAACUAAAUAAUGGCGGUUCACCGAAUGGAGUGAGAUCUCAAUUUUCACCUUCGGAUCUUUCUAUCCAUACACCAGUUCAUCAUGUUGGAAGUCGAGUUCGAGUGUCCAGUGUCAACCAGAUUUGCGAUUCGAACAGUGCUCCACAAUUCAGUAUCGA